rnacentral:lncRNA from 1 species
GCAGUUUGUUCAAGCCCUUGACCUUUUCACGUUCAGCAGAGACCUUUUCAAAAACUCAGCGUUUCUGUAACUUAACCAGCCGCGGGCAGGUCCGUAGCCGGAGCCCGCGGCGGGGGCGGCGGCAGCGGGUGCCAGCGGGGGGACGCGGCCAGACGCUCCAGGUACCGGCCCCGGUCCCGGCCCCUUCCCUCCGGCCGCGGCUCGGCCCGGGCUGUGCCGUGGGGUCCCCGGGGUCUGCGCGUGGCCGGGCCCCAGUCCCCGAGCCGGGGGGACACCGGGGGGACACCGCGGGGAAGGGGCUGGCACAGCCGUGCUCCGGCAGCUGGAUCGGCGCUGCCUCGGCCCGGGUAACCCGGGGCAGGCUCACGCGUAGAGCUCGGAGCUUCCUACAGAAUAACGGGAAAAAGUCGUUUGAUAAUUGCUGAAAUUCACCGAAGUUGUUUGCUGCAGCCUUGUUGUCCUGCAGAGCAGAUGGGGCAGGCAGCACUGGCCACAGGGUGACAGAGAGCCCCGUGGCUUUCCCUUCUGUAGGUUUAACAGGAUUGUGCCUCAAACGGUGCUGCUGCUGCUUCCGUCGGUGCCUUGUUUCUGAAAACUCUUGAAAUCUGUUGGUAGUUUGUGUGUGUCGUAUGCUGGAAGUUAGACUUGAUGCAUUCAAGUAGUGAGGCUCAGAAUUGUGCCUGAUCCCGAAAUUGAAACAACUCUGACAACAGCAUCACCAAACACUGCUAAAAAUGUUCUUGGUCCCCUGUCUUGUUUAUUCGUUCACUUACACUAGGCAUGACUGUUUCCUGUUGUGUUCAUUGACCUAAUAUUUCAUGCCCCAAGAGAGCAGCAUCUGCUUUUAUCUAUAAACUUCAAAGCUUCUUUUCAAGCUUUAUGUGGUGUUCGUAAUAGUGGUGAGGUGUAAGUUUUGCUUUGUUUUGUUACUUUAUCUCACCAAACCGUGCAUCAUUCAGUCUCCUGUGAUUUGUUCACUUCCUGCAAUCCCAGCUCUCUGGCAGGAUUAUUUAACAGUUUCAUCAAGAAUCAGUGUAGCGUUAUGGGUUCUUAAGAGAACUGUUGAAAGACAAAAUAUUGAUACUUGUCUUAUGAAAGGUUACUGUUCUUCGUUCCCAAAUACUAUCAGAGAAGAACAAACUUCCUAGAGGAGUGAUCUUUCAAGGAAGAAGACAAGAAACAAGACUUCCUACAUUCCCCAGGUAUUCAAAGCAGGGAGGCUAGAAAGUGUGAUUUAUAUAAUGAGGGGUCAUACAGGAGAUUUUUUCUUAAAUCUUAAAAAACAUCAGGCUUACCCCCUGCCUUCCUCCCCCCCCAAAAAAAAAAAAUCCUUAAAAAAAACUUCAGGGCCAUGUGAAACAGUCACUUCAAGCCAGUGCUGCAGAAGUGCUUGUGUAGUCCUGUCUAUAAAAUUCAGGUUAGCCAAAAUUAGUUACUUCCAGUGAGACAAUUUCUCCUAUAUCAAUACUCCUGAAAAUCAUGAAGUGUCUUAGAGGAACUGUAACUCUUAUGAGUAGUAUGUAGUAGAUAGACAACUAAGAGGGAAUUCUCUGUCUGGCAGGUUCCAGGUUCUAUCUCUCCUUGAAUUAAUGUGUUAUGAAAGCUACUUAGUGCAAAAGUAAAUCAAGCUAAAGAAGCUAAGGGAACAUUGUUGUAUUUGGUAAAGACAGAAUCUCAAGAGUUGCAAUAUGGAAGCAAAACUUAAAAAGAGUUAAGACUGCUAAAAAUACUUCUAGAGUUUCCUUUUAAAUUCCAUACAAGGAGUGUGGAAAACAUCUUAACUCUUUAAGAUACUGCCUCAAGAGGAUUUCUGUCAUCAUUUCUACUUCAUAUUCAGCCUGCAUCAAAUUAAAAACAAAAAUGUAACUGCAAGGCAACGUGCAAACCUGAUUUUUUUUUUUUUUUUCAGUUUUAAAGUCUAACGUGCUUGACU